UAUCAGCUGAUGUACGAAGGGUUAUAUAAAUACAUUUGAUUUGAUUGAAAUUUGAUUUGGUAGCGGAUUUGGCAGACCUAUUGGCAUCAAUUCUCUCAAACCAGUCUGCUAGACAUAAAAUGGAUUCUGGUCAGUGCCGGUGGCUGAGGAGUCACGAGACUGGUUUGGGUUCUGUUGCCAGGGGGAGUAAAAUACGUGGGCUAGGGCACCGAUGGGAUUUACAAAUAGUCCAACUUUGUAUCACGCUGCAUUGAAACAAUCGCUUAAAGGGUGUACAUUUCAGGGUUCUGUGUUGGUACAAUACGUAGAUKAUUUGUUAUUGGCGUAAAAAGAUGAAGAAACUCAUAUGUGAGACCUUACCACAUUAGUAAACUAUUUGGCAGAGCAGGAUCACAAAGCAUCAUAUGAGAAAGCACAACUAUCGAAACAAGAAGUAACAUAUUAGGGAGUGUCUAUUUCGAAAUGGAAACGAAACACAUUACACGUGAUAGAGUAGAAACAAUGCGUUCUCUGGCAUAGCCAAACACUCCUCCACGCUCAGGAAAACCCUAGGAGCGUUCAAUUUUGUGAGACAUUUUAUUCCGUAAUUCUCUGAAAUUGCUGAACGACUUACAGAGUUGACAAAAGGGGGGAAGGGUCCCCAUGAAAGGAUAGAGUGGAGUCAAGAGUGUGAGAUGGCGUUUGUCGAGCUAAAGAACCAAUUGUGUCAAGCGCCAGCAUUGGGGUUGCCAAACCUAAAAUGACCUUAUAUUAUAAAAUGUUUGUUCAUGAACAUGAAAGACAUUGUAGCGCGGUGGUUACGCAAAAGCAUGAGGGAAUAGAGAGACCAGUAAUGUACUGGAGUAUAUCGUUAGACUCGGUGGCGACAGGAAUGCCACCGUGCCUGAGGGCGGUACAAGCGACAGAAAUGGUGUUGCAUAACACAGCUUCGAUUACAAUGGGGCAAAAAGUGGAUUUGUAUGUUCCACAUGCAGUAGCAACCAUAGCUAAUAGCACGAAAGCACAACACGUUACUAGCGCGAAAUGGAAAAAAUGGGAAUUAAAGUUAAAUGGGUAAAAUCUACAUUUCCAUAAGAUUGAUACUUUGAAUUCUACGUCGUUAAUGCCGUUGCCCGGGGAGGGUGAACUUACAUGUGACCCAGAUCAAUUUACGCCAAAGCCUAGGCCGAUUUGGAAGAGACAGCAUUGGAAUUGGGACAAGUAUUGUAUACAGAUGGCUCUAGUUACAUGACCAUAGAAGGGAAGAGAGUAACGGGGUACGCUGUGUGUGAUGACAGGGGUGUAGUAACGGCUGGCCCAGUGCCAUCCUCGGUGUCAGCCCAGGGGGUGGAAUUAUAUGCAUUAGCCGAGGCCUGUCGGCUGUCRGAAGGGGAGAAUGUAACAAUAUACACUGAUUCUCGAUAUGCAUUUGGGGUAGUUCAUGAUUUCAGUACAUUGUGGUCACAAUGGGGGGCAUGUUAACAGCGAUAGGAACAGAAAUAAAAAAUGGACAGGAGCUAGAGGCAUUAUUAGUAGUGUGUCAGCUACACAGUAAAUUAACAGUGGUGAAAUGUGAAGCUCAUUCUAGUCGUACAGAUAAAAUAGCCAUAGGGAAUCGCAGAGCAGACGAAACUGCUAAGGCGGCAGCCUUAGUAAGAGAAGGUGUUAAAGCACCUGCAGCGGUAAAGUCCACAGCCUAUUCUCGGGGGGUUCACACUUCUCACGUGAAACGAGAUCCAGCUGCAUAAUGGGUGAGCUGGAAGCUGCCAUGAUAGAGGAAGCGGAGCUAAACCGAGAGAGGAAGAGUAGAUUUCACUGUAGACAAGCAGUUGGGUAGGGUCUGGGAGCUACUUUAACCACCAGUCUUUGUGUCUGUUGCUUUAAUGCUUACUGAACCAUGUAAAAAGUAUACAUUGACAAUUCGCAUUGAAAGGGUUGCCAAAUAUGAAGACACGAGAAUGCAUUGGGGUAGAGUCAGUACCAGUGCUACGGAUACUAGACAGAUCACUAAUCACAAAGGUAUGUUGAUAUGGGUGAAGCCACUUGAUAACAGGAUUAGUACAUUGUACGUAGGUUGUUCAGAUCAAGGUGUAGUUUUAUUACAGACAGGAGUGUGGAAGGAUCAUAAUAAUACAGAGUCUUAAGAACGAAACUAGAUUUUAUCUUUUGCCGCAGAUGGUUCUAGAUCAGCUGAAGCUCAGUCGAUAACUUUCAGAUGAAUGCUACCAGAACUAAAAACAUUUCAGGAAGUUGAUAGCAUGAACACAACCAUUGCUGACAAUGGACAUAGGUUUUUCUUUGCAUAUAUAGUUAUGCAUAGUUUAACACAUUAUUAAUACUGUUAUGUUUUGUGUUUCUUUUUGCUUUUCAAGUCUUGUGCUAUCACUCUCUUAGGAACCAGAAGUUGAAAUGGAGAAAGUCAAAGCUACAGCUGAAAUGUCACUCUGUUAUCCGACGAGAAAUUGGAAUAAGAAUUCCUCAAGACCAUGCAAGAACUUGGCCCCAGCAGACACCACCACAAGAAAACCCAAGGAUUCAUCAGACGCACAAGGGCGCAUGUGUCCAACCAACGCCGAGAAUAGACACAUCUUCCCUCUCUCCUUCUUCUCCUGUGAAAUGCCCCUUAAAAUAUGGGAAAUGCUCACCAAGCAAGAAAAGAUCCUGGAACAGCAAACGCUCAUCCUAUGCCUCAUAGCAGAAUGCUGCAGAAUAUGUGAUCGAAGAAGGCCUUCUGCCGUUGAAGAAUCAACAAGGUCUCCAGAGCCUGGAAACCAAACUUCAGGSGGCUGACUUCAAACUGAAUGUCAUGUCCACUCCCGCACCUGCGCUCGAGGUCACCGGUCUACUACCCACCUGUCCUGGCAAGCCAUCUUUACGCACACCUGGCAACCAUCAUUGCGCACACCUGUGUCUCAUCAUCAGUCACUACUCCCUUGAUUACUUACCCUUUAUAUAGCACGCUUUUGUUAUUAGUCAUCAGGUAGUAUUGUUUAUGUUUCUAUGUCAGACGCUUCUCUUGUUUUAUAUAGCUCCAUGUUCGUUAUUAUUAAACUCACUAACUGCACCUGC